AGCAGCCGCGGUAAUUCCAGCUCCAAUAGCGUAUAUUAAAGUUGUUGCAGUUAAAAAGCUCGUAGUUGAAUUUCGAGACCGGUUUAUUGGUCGUGCUUUUGUACGUACUGGUAUUAUUGGUUUCUCCUUUCUGACGAAUCUUAAUGCCAUUAAUUUGGUGUUUUGGGGAAUCAGGACUGUUACUUUGAAAAAAUUAGAGUGUUUAAAGCAGGCUCACGCUUGAAUACAUUAGCAUGGAAUAACGGAAUAGGACGUUUGAUUCUAUUUUGUUGGUUUCUAGGAUCGACGUAAUGAUUAAUAGGGAUAGUUGGGGGCAUUAGUAUUCAAUUGUCAGAGGUGAAAUUCUUGGAUUUAUUGAAGACUAACUACUGCGAAAGCAUUUGCCAAGGAUGUUUUCAUUAAUCAAGAACGAAAGUUAGGGGAUCGAAGACGAUCAGAUACCGUCGUAGUCUUAACCAUAAACUAUG
rnacentral:rRNA from 1 species